rfam:Felis catus isolate Cinnamon breed Abyssinian chromosome B4, whole genome shotgun sequence.
GCCUGGGUGGCUCAGUCCAUUGAGCAUCCGACUUCAGCUCAGGUCAUGAUCUCACGGUUCCUGGGUUCGAGCCCCACCUCGGGCU